rnacentral:sRNA from 1 species
UUAGAAAAAAGAGUAGGUAUGUAUGUGUUUUAAGACUUUGAUGCUUUCAUGUUGUCCUUGAAGUUCCAUCUGUUAUACAAAAUGAAUGAUGGCAGGUAUAUAGUAUGUUUUUAGAAUACUGUAUUUUAAUUUCUAAAACUUUAAAAGAUCACACUUCAGAAAGUCAAAGCCAUUUAUAGGAAAUCAGUUUUCCUGAUUCAUAGUAUUUUGGAGUUAAAGAGAAGACUAAAAAUUACUUGCUCUUGUGAUGGCGGUUAGAUGACUAUAUAUGUCAGAACUCAUUGAACCAUACAAUUAAAUAUUUUUUGUAUAUAAAUUAUAUGUCUAUAAAGCUGACUUUUUUGUAUAUAAAUUAUAUGUCUAUAAAGAGCUCUUUUUUUUGUUGUUGUUGAGACAGAGUCUCUCUGUGUUGCCCAGGCAGAGGUUGCAGUGAGCUGAGAUUGUGCCACUGCACUCCAGCCUGGGCAGCAGAGCCAGAGCAUGUCUCAAAAGAAAAAAAAAA